rnacentral:rRNA from 1 species
CCUACGGGGCGCAGCAGUGGGGAAUAUUGGGCAAUGGACGCAAGUCUGACCCAGCAACGCCGCGUGAAGGAAGAAGGCUUUCGGGUUGUAAACUUCUUUUAAGGGGGAAGAGCAGAAGACGGUACCCCUUGAAUAAGCCACGGCUAACUACGUGCCAGCAGCCGCGGUAAUACGGAAGGUCCGGGCGUUAUCCGGAUUUAUUGGGUUUAAAGGGAGCGUAGGCGGGCCGUUAAGUCAGUUGUGAAAGUUCGGGGCUCAACCCCGGAAUUGCAGUUGAAACUGCCGGUCUUGAGUACACGCAGGGG